GUCGCGGCGGCUGGUGCUUGGGGAAGGACAAACACCAGAGGAGGUUCCUGAUGCAACCUUGACAUCUCAGCCAUCUGUGUUAUCACCAGCCGAAAGACUCCAAAGAAUCAGAAAGAGCCCACAUAGAAGCAAGGAAGACAUGUUGCAUGAAGUAAUACAACAUUCAAGUAAUGAAAAUC